rnacentral:rRNA from 1 species
CGCCCCGAAUUGUAGUCUAGAAAGGCGCCAUCGGCCGCGUCCUCCGCUUAAGUUCCUUGGAAUAGGAGAGACGGAGAAGGUGAGAUCCCUGUACCGUGGAGGUUCUCGGCCGCACGAUGCGCCCUUGCAGAGUCGGGUUGCUUGGGAUUGCAGCUUGAAUUGGGUGGUAAAUUCCAUCUAAAGCUAAAUAUUGGCUCAUGACCGAUAGCGAACAAGUACCGUGAGGGAAAGAUGCAAAGAACUUUGAAAAGAGAGUUAAAGAGUGCUUGAAAUCGGCAAGAGGAAACCCGUUUGCGCCCGGUGUUCGUUGUUCCAUUUUAGCCGUUUCGAAGCGGUGUACUGUGGAGCGCGGGGUCCCUCGCGCUUGCAGGUGCUUCAGAAUCACUCGGGGGGCCAUUUGGUGAGCCGAGAGAUGUGGCGCUUGUGAGCUCGGUGGACGUAACGGGCGCAACCGACCCGUCUAGAAACACGGACCAAGGAGUCUGACACGGAUGCGAGUACCCGGGUGGCAAGCCCGCGUGCGCAAUGAAAGUGAAGGGCGUGCCCCGCCAACCGACCUUGAUCUUCUGUGAAGGGUUUGAGUCGAGCAUCACUGUCGGGACCCGAAAGAUGGUGAACUUUGCCUGAGGAGGUUGAAGUCUGCCGAAAGGCAGAUGGAGGGCCGUAGCGAUACUGACGUGCAAAUCGUUCGUCGAACUUGGGUAAAGGGGCGAAAGACUAAUCGAACCAUCUAGUAGCUGGUUCCCUCCGAAGUUUCCCUCAGGAUAGCUUGGACGCAAGGGUUUUGU